rnacentral:rRNA from 1 species
UAUUGGACAAUGGGCGCAAGCCUGAUCCAGCAAUACCGCGUGUGUGAAGAAGGCCUUAGGGUUGUAAAGCACUUUCAAUUGGGAGGAAAACCUGCCGGUCAAUACCCGGUAGCUUGACAUUACCUUUAGAAGAAGCACCGGCUAACUCCGUGCCAGCAGCCGCGGUAAUACGGAGGGUGCGAGCGUUAAUCGGAAUUACUGGGCGUAAAGCGUGCGUAGGCGGUUCGUUAAGUCAGAUGUGAAAGCCCUGGGCUCAACCUGGGAACGGCAUUUGAAACUGGCGGACUAGAGUUUAGUAGAGGGGAGUGGAAUUUCAGGUGUAGCGGUGAAAUGCGUAGAUAUCUGAAGGAACACCAGUGGCGAAGGCGACUCCCUGGACUAGAACUGACGCUGAGUACGAAA